CCUACGGGCGGCUGCAGUGGGGAAUAUUGGACAAUGGGCGAAAGCCUGAUCCAGCCAUGCCGCGUGUGUGAAGAAGGCCUUCGGGUUGUAAAGCACUUUCAGUGGGGAAGAAAGCCUUGGGGCUAAUACCCUCGAGGAAGGACAUCACCCACAGAAGAAGCACCGGCUAACUCCGUGCCAGCAGCCGCGGUAAUACGGAGGGUGCGAGCGUUAAUCGGAAUUACUGGGCGUAAAGCGCGCGUAGGCGGUCUGAUAAGCCGGUUGUGAAAGCCCCGGGCUCAACCUGGGAACGGCAUCCGGAACUGUCAGGCUAGAGUGCAGGAGAGGAAAGUAGAAUUCCCGGUGUAGCGGUGAAAUGCGUAGAGAUCGGGAGGAAUACCAGUGGCCAAGGCGGCCUUCUGGACUGACACUGACGCUGAGGUGCGAAAGCGUGGGUAGCAAACAGGAUUAGAUACCCGGGUAGUC
rnacentral:rRNA from 1 species